rnacentral:lncRNA from 1 species
CUUAAGCAACAAUGGUGCCGUAGCUCUAGUUAAGGAGCCAAGGUCUCACCAAAGCUCUUAGCACAUAAGAGCAAUGAUUCACGACUAUUUCGUGAAGUAAAGCUUCGAGGAUUAGAGUAGACCCCACAAAGACGUGGUGGGCCCACUGACUAAAUAAUUUAGCCAGUAAAGACUAAAGCACAUCUUGAGAAGAUGGGACUUAGGUUUGUGGCAGAUUAGCUUUAGUGCAA